rnacentral:rRNA from 1 species
CCUACGGGUGGCAGCAGUGGGGAAUAUUGGACAAUGGGGGGAACCCUGAUCCAGCCAUGCCGCGUGUGUGAAGAAGGCCCUCGGGUUGUAAAGCACUUUCAGUGAGGAAGAACGCCUGGUGGUUAAUACCCAUCAGGAAAGACAUCACUCACAGAAGAAGCACCGACUAACUCCGUGCCAGCAGCCGCGGUAAUACGGAGGGUGCGAGCGUUAAUCGGAAUUACUGGGCGUAAAGCGCGCGUAGGUGGCUUGAUAAGCCGGUUGUGAAAGCCCCGGGCUCAACCUGGGAACGGCAUCCGGAACUGUCAAGCUAGAGUGCAGGAGAGGAAGGUAGAAUUCCCGGUGUAGCGGUGAAAUGCGUAGAGAUCGGGAGGAAUACCAGUGGCGAAGGCGGCCUUCUGGACUGACACUGACACUGAGGUGCGAAAGCGUGGGUAGCAAACAGGAUUAGAUACCCUGGUAGUC